ensembl:rRNA 5S_rRNA 5S ribosomal RNA
GUCUAUGGCCAUACCACCCUGAGUACGCCAGAUCUCAUUUGAUCGCGGAAGCUAAGCAGGGUCAUUCCUGGUUAGUACUUGGAUGGGAGACCGCCUGUGAAUCCCAGGAGCUGUAGACU